GGUGACAGGUGGGACAGUUAGAAGGAGAAGGAGCUGAGAGCAAGAACACAUGUGUUGGCUGCGCUUGAGAUGGAAGAACAAGAACAAGGAUCUCUGCAACUGACAUGGGUGACCCAAUGCCUCCGGCAGCACCUGCACCUGAAACCCCGGCAGCUCCGGCUACACCGAUGCCACCAGCCCCUGACAUGACACCGUUGGAAAUGUUGACCCUGGCCCCUUCAGAAAGACCAGACAAAGGAAUUGGGAUGAGUAAGUCAUACUCCUGAUUAAUCUUGAGCUUGCCAGGAGCAGCUUGUCUCUUUGAUACAGGUCAGAUUGCAAAAGUUACAAUAUAGUUUAUA